GCCACGCAGUCGUGGGUGAACAGGGAGUACAGGAGAGGCCUGAGCACGCAGGCUCGUGUGUGCUCCAUUUGAUUUCUAUUUCUCAGGUGAGGGUGCAGUUUAAGUAACGGUGUGAUGUCUAUACAAAAACAAAGCAGGCUAUUUUAAGCCACCCAUAUUGAAAAAAAUUAGAACAAUUAGACACCGAAUAGGCAAGAGGGCCAACCAGGGAGAAUAGUAAGACACUUAAUUAUUUCUAUAACUAUGCUAUAUUGUUUGUCGUCGUGUGUCUGUGCAUGUUUUUCAGUAUAAAGUACUCUGCAGCCACUUAGUGUGGACACCAGGUUAUAUCAGCUGUGUCGGUGAACCCCUCCCGCAUCUGAACUGUCUACAUAGAGGGCACAGCAUCAAAGGUAUGUUUUGAUGUGAGAGAGGAUACCAACCCCCAGUCCCGUCAUUGCCACCUCACCCGCUCUUAAGAUAAACUUCGGGCCGACUGGGAGCCCAGGACUGGUUAGGAGACACCACUAGAGACACUAUUAUGUAAUUGUGAUGAACUGAGAUAAUAUUAGGUCUCACUGUGAUUCAUUAAUCAUAAGCUGCCUUCCCUGCUCUUCUUACCUCUUUCCCUUUGUCUUUUACACCUCCCUCGCCACCUUUCUUCCUGUUUUUAUAAUGUGCAUUGGAGUACAGAUUGAACUUGUAUUUAUAAUAUUACAAUUAUAAUAUUUAUAUAUUUAUAUUUUGCUACAUAUGACCAAAUCAAGGUGGUCGGUUACAUAUAAACAACAACCUAAAUGUAGGCUAAUAUUUCUGGGGGGGCAAGGAGGAGACUCGGUUUCUUGCCACCAGGGCCCUUUCCCCCAAGCGUUUCCAUGGCAAUUCCAUUGUUUUGGUCGCGUUUGAUUUUAUGUUUAACGGCUGACUAGUAUAUUCGUCGUUUACAGUUUACACUUGGCUAAGAACUAGCCUACUAUUAAAUACAUAAUCUUUUUUUUUUUUAUAGGUUCCCAUUUCAUGAAAAGCCCAGGCUGCAGCAGUAGGUAGAAAAUGUCAGGUAGAUUAAUUGUAAACCAACACAACACUCUCGUCCCUGUGCCCAUCACUUUGAAUAUGAGUGUUUUCAGCAUGAUGACAAGGGAAAUGUCCACCUCACCCCGACUGCGGUGCCCAUCAUUUUCUCCUUCCCUGAUCGUCAUCAAAAGUGGACACAAUGCCCCAGGGAAAGAUGAAGAAAUACGGUAGAUACAGAGGUAAGUGACAAUGUUGAUCAUGCGAAAGCAUCUGCUGCCAUUGAUCACACUUACUAUGUAAGUUACGUCGAUGAGGCUGGGGGUGCUUACUGCUUAGUCCUCUUGUCCCAGGUGGGACAUAAGGCUGCAACAAUCGUUAGCCACUGGAGUCUGUCUUUGGCCACAGUUUGUAUCCUGUCCCAUGAAAGACCCAUCUCUUCCAGCUCAGCCACCACUGUCUGUCGCCAUGUUGUUUUUGGCCUGCCUCUUGCUCUUUUCAGUUGGUGUCCAACUUUGGGGAUCCUUUCUGGCGGCUUCUUCAGCACAUGACCAAGCCAACGCAACCUGCAUAUCUUCAUUUCCAGGACAAUGUUCUUACAGCACUUCCUCCCAUAGUCACGACUUCCGGCUCCUCUCCCUGUUCGGGUGGCGCUCGGUGGUCGUGGUCACCGGUCUACUAGCUGCCACCAAUCCCUUUUUAUUUUCUGU